rnacentral:rRNA from 1 species
AGAGUUUGAUUCUGGCUCAGAAUGAACGCUGGCGGCGUGGAUAAGACAUGCAAGUCGAACGAAAACACUGAAUAGCUUGCUAAUUAGUGUUUUAGUGGCGGACGGGUUAGUAACACGUGAGCAACCUGCCUCGAAGCGGGGGAUAGCCUUCCGAAAGGGAGAUUAAUACCGCAUGUGGUCUUCGGACCAAAGACGCCUUCGGGUGUCACUUCGAGAUGGGCUCGCGGCCUAUCAGCUUGUUGGUGAGGUAACGGCUCACCAAGGCUACGACGGGUAGCUGUUCUGAGAGGAAGAUCAGCAACACUGGAACUGAGACACGGUCCAGACACCUACGGGUGGCAGCAGUCGAGAAUCAUUCACAAUGGGGGCAACCCUGAUGGUGCAACGCCGCGUGGAGGAUGAAGGCCCUAGGGUCGUAAACUCCUGUCAUGUGAGAGUAAGGCAUAGUCGGUUAAGAGCUAACUAUGUUUGAUAGUAUCACAAGAGGAAGGGACGGCUAACUUCGUGCCAGCAGCCGCGGUAAUACGAAGGUCCCGAGCGUUAUUCGGAAUCACUGGGCGUAAAGAGUACGUAGGCGGUUUGGUAAGUCAGGUGUGAAAUCCCGGAGCUCAACUCCGGAACUGCAUCCGAUACUGCUAGACUAGAGUAAUGGAGAGGCAGGUGGAAUUCUCGGUGUAGCAGUGAAAUGCGUGGAUAUCGAGAGGAAGACCAAUGGCGAAGGCAGCCUGCUGGACAUUUACUGACGCUGAGGUACGAAGGCCAGGGUAGCGAAAGGGAUUAGAUACCCCUGUAGUCCUGGCAGUAAACGGUGCGCGCUUGGUGUAGGAGGACUCGACCCCUUCUGUGCCGGAGCUAACGCGUUAAGCGCGCCGCCUGGGGAGUACGGUCGCAAGACUAAAACUCAAAGAAAUUGACGGGGACCCGCACAAGCGGU